CCUACGGGGAGCAGCAGUGAGGAAUAUUGGUCAAUGGGCUUACGCCUGAACCAGCCAAGUCGCGUGAGGGAAGACUGCCCUAUGGGUUGUAAACCUCUUUUGUCAGGGAGCAACGCCGGCUACGUGUAGCCGGACUGAGAGUACCUGAAGAAAAAGCAUCGGCUAACUCCGUGCCAGCAGCCGCGGUAAUACGGAGGAUGCGAGCGUUAUCCGGAUUUAUUGGGUUUAAAGGGUGCGUAGGCGGAAUGCCAAGUCAGCGGUAAAAUCGCGGGGCUCAACCUCGCUCCGCCGUUGAAACUGGCGGUCUUGAGUGGGCGAGAAGUAUGCGGAAUGCGUGGUGUAGCGGUGAAAUGCAUAGAUAUCACGCAGAACUCCGAUUGCGAAGGCGACCUGCUAGAACAUAACUGACGCUGAUGCGCGAAAGCGUGGGGAGCAAACAGGAUUAGAUACCCGAGUAGUC
rnacentral:rRNA from 1 species